CAUGGCGGCGAGAAUAAAAGUUUUUAGGUUUGAACUUGUGAUGUCUCUUGCUCCAGGCAAGAAAUAUUCCUCUGAGCCCCAUCAUCUCAUGUUCAUUUGGGGAGACUGAGCCCCCCCAAAACUGAAAUCCAAGAACCGCCUCUGGGGAUGCCUGGUCUGCGGGUGUGAUUAGUGUGCCAGGGUGAUGUGUGUGGUAAAUGUCUGAGAUGAAUCCAGCCAUGAAAUUGAUCUGGGCUUUUGAGUGUUGCACUUGUCUUUAAGGGAAAAGACUACAGGAUAUUACUGAAGCAAUGAGAAGUAGCCUUCCUGUCAGCCAAGCCACUGCUGCAUGACACUGAGCAAGAUUUAAAUCACAGGCUUAAGUAAUGGGCAGCAAUAAGCUGCUCUUGCUGUCUGUCUCUGUAUAGCAAACAUGUAGGUGCUGUUUUCUUGCAGUCUUAACAGCUUGAUUUGUGCAUUUCUAAAGUGAAUUUUACAUGUUAUAUUUUAUUUUAUACAUGCAUUUCAUGCAUAAAUGCUUGUAUUUUAUGGCAGAGUGAUUUGGAUUGUAGAUUUUAUUCACAUUGAAAUCUGUUCUGUUGUAGGAAAAUAAGGCAUGAAUAGAUUUCUUCUAAAACGCAGAAUGCAUACUGUAUUGCUUUAGACAAUAUGCAAUGUUUUUUGCACAUAAAAAAUGCUUUUUACUGACUGGCUCACUGUUUCAUCACCAUUUUAAGUUCAUUUAACUCUUUACCCACCAGGGGGAAUUUAAAAGUAAUAAUUUUAUGUUGUUAGCCACCACCAGCAUUUUUGACCAUAUUCACAAAUCUUCCAGGACUCCCAGAAUAUCAUAUCAAUGGCAGUAAAGG
ensembl:lncRNA